rnacentral:rRNA from 1 species
CCUACGGGACGCAGCAGUGAGGAAUAUUGGUCAAUGGGCGGGAGCCUGAACCAGCCAAGCCGCGUGAGGGAAGAAGGUACAGCGUAUCGUAAACCUCUUUUGUCAGGGAACAAAGGCGGGGACUAGUCCCCGGAUGAGGGUACCUGAAGAAAAAGCAUCGGCUAACUCCGUGCCAGCAGCCGCGGUAAUACGGAGGAUGCGAGCGUUAUCCGGAUUUAUUGGGUUUAAAGGGUGCGCAGGCGGCCUGUUAAGUCAGCGGGAAAAGCCCGGGGCUCAACCCCGGCAAGCCGUUGAAACUGGCGGGG